AUCCCAUGAUGAGGACAGGCGGCGACAUACUCCUGUAGCAUUUUCCAUGCUUCCGGGAUCGUCUCAUCCUUAGUUUGCUGGAAACAGGAAAUUCUUCCAUGAAGGGU
rnacentral:snoRNA from 1 species